CGGAGGAUCCGAGCGUUAUCCGGAUUUAUUGGGUUUAAAGGGUGCGCAGGCGGGAUGUUAAGUCGGCGGUGAAAUUUUGCAGCUCAACUGUAAAAGUGCCUUCGAUACUGGCUUUCUUGAGUGUGGAUGAAGUAGGCGGAAUUUGUGGUGUAGCGGUGAAAUGCUUAGAUAUCACGAGGAACUCCGAUUGCGCAGGCAGCUUACUAAACCACUACUGACGCUCAUGCACGAAGGCGUGGGGAUCAAACAGGAUUAGAUA
rnacentral:rRNA from 1 species